GAUGAACGCUGGCGGCGUGCCUAAUACAUGCAAGUCGAGCGAACGGACGAGAAGCUUGCUUCUCUGAUGUUAGCGGCGGACGGGUGAGUAACACGUGGAUAACCUACCUAUAAGACUGGGAUAACUUCGGGAAACCGGAGCUAAUACCGGAUAAUAUUUUGAACCGCAUGGUUCAAAAGUGAAAGACGGUCUUGCUGUCACUUAUAGAUGGAUCCGCGCUGCAUUAGCUAGUUGGUAAGGUAACGGCUUACCAAGGCAACGAUGCAUAGCCGACCUGAGAGGGUGAUCGGCCACACUGGAACUGAGACACGGUCCAGACUCCUACGGGAGGCAGCAGUAGGGAAUCUUCCGCAAUGGGCGAAAGCCUGACGGAGCAACGCCGCGUGAGUGAUGAAGGUCUUCGGAUCGUAAAACUCUGUUACUAGGGAAGAACAUAUGUGUAAGUAACUGUGCGCAUCUUGACGGUACCUAAUCAGAAAGCCACGGCUAACUACGUG
rnacentral:rRNA from 1 species